AGCUAUAUAAUUGUUAUUUGUGUGUAUUUGUGUUUAUAUGUGAUCCAGUCCCGAACAGAAGCACGAUCACUGUUUAAUGAAGUACACUCGGCUUCAAUUGGUGCACACACAGGCACUGUUAAAACCAGAUCCUCAAUGUACUCCAGAAAUUAUUGGGAUGGCAUGACAGUGGACAUUGACUGAUGGGUAUCUGAAUGCGACGGAUGUCAGAGGACUGGUAACUCUUUGGCUGUGUGUGACACAGCCAUUCCAAAGCAUUAAGGUGUCUGCUGUUUGGGAGUUGGUUGGGAUAGACCUGACUGGGCCUCUCCCAAAAACCAAGGAUGGCUUUCAGUACAUUCUUACUGCCACCGAUUAUUUUUCCAAGUGGGUUGAGGCCUUUCCUUUAAAAACCAAAACAGCAUCAGAGGUGGCAUAAUGGAUCUGCUCAAUUGUUUAUAGACACAGAUGCCCCCAACGAAUCCUGUCUGACCAAGGAAGAGAAUUUGUCAAUUAGCUCAACGAUAACCUUUGUGCCCUCCUGUGCAUUGAAAGGAGUGUUACAGCUGCAUAUCAUCCUAAGACGAAUGGGCUGAUGAGAGGA